AAAGGAGAUGAAAUAGAGAAAUAAAAUUUCUCUUGGACUUUCACACUGGAAAAUGACAAGCCAUUCUGUGGAUCAAUAAUGUACUUGGUGCUCCCAUGAAGCUGGGAGCCGAGGCAGAGGCUCAUGAGUUUGAGGCUCUCAACGAGCUCCCCAGCACUGCGAGAGGCCAGCUGCAUGGAGUUGCUGGGGCCGGCACAGCGGCGUGUGGUACCCGAUGUAUUGGUGGGGUUGCCACCCGAGCCGCUGGAGGGACUGCCCCCACCAGCAUUGUUCUCACUGGGGCUGGCCUUGUCCACCCCUCCACUGGCAUUGCUUGGCUUGCUCUGGCCCCCGCCAUCCCCCUCACUGCCAGGGGGCCCCUCGCUGCUAUCCCGUCGGUGCCAGGAGUAGGUGAACCCGCUAUCUUUAUCGAGCCGCCGCCGGCUUUCAGAAUCAUCAUCACUGGUCUCCGAACUACUGCAGCUGGAGCCCCGGCCCUGACUUUUCCUCCGGUGGUAGCGUUUGUGAACUGUACCUGGAGAAGCUAUAUUCAUCUUUAACCUGCUCAACUUGGGAGGCAGAUUCUCAUCCAUGUCAAACUCAUCGUCAGAUUCCCCUUCCUCAAAGAUCUGGUUGAGGACGGGCGCACUCUUCCUGGAUGUCAGGCGGUUGGUUACAGAUGGCUUCCGGCGCAAAACCACUUGUGUUGAGAGGGACAUGGGUUUCUUGUCCUCCUCAUCUUCCUCUUCAUCUUCUUCCACCCUGAACAGACACUUCCGCCCACUGGCUGUGGGUUUUAAGCUUGCGGGUGGCACCGUAGAGAGUGCUGGUCCAGCCAACUCAGGGAGGUCAUCUUUCUUAGCUGAGUCACACAGGCCUUUGCUCCUGUGGCCAUUGAGGACACUGUCAGCAGCCCGAGCAGGAGACUGAGGGACAGUCGCGUGGGACAAAGGAGUGGCCGUGAGGUCAUCCUCAAGGUCCUGGGGUACAUCAAUUUUG
rnacentral:lncRNA from 1 species